rnacentral:rRNA from 1 species
GUUGAUUAUCUUGUUAUUUAUUUAAUGUUAUUUUAUUUUUUAUAAUUGAAAGAUCAUUUAUGGUUGUUGUAUUAAUAUUUUGAUUUAAUUUUUUAUACUAUAGAUUAUUUGUACCGUGAGGGGUUGAUAAAAAUUUUAAUGUUUUUAAGGAAGUUAAUUUUGUUUAUUGUACCUUGUGUAUCAGGGUUCAUUGAAUUUUAUUAUUUAUUUUUAUUUCCCGAUUUUUGAGGAGUUAAUGAUUUAUGUUAGUUAUUGUUUCAUCAAUAUUAAUAAUAGGUUGUUGGUAAUGAAAUGUUAUUCGUCUUUUGUGGUUUCUGGUUUUUCAAGAAAUGAAUUUAAUUCAUACAUCUUAUUUAAUUUCUGUUAUUUUUCUAUUUAUUUUUAUUUGAUGUUAAGAUUAAGGGGGAUUAGCUCUUUAUUUUAUUGUUAUAAUUGUUUGUUUAAUUUGGUUUUGUGGAUUUUAUAGUGAUUUUCAAUUUGAUUAUGUUAAAAUUUUACUUGUUCUUUUAUUUAUUUAUUUUAAUUUAAUUAAUUUAUUGGAAUGUUUAUUUUGCCUUAUGUUAUGUAUAGUAAUUAUUGUGGAAUUAGUAAAUAUUAUUUUAUUAUAUUGUGAGUAUAUUGUGUUAAUUAUCCUUUAGGAAUUAGGCAAAUAUUUAUGUUCGCCUGUUUAACAAAAACAUCUUUUCUUGUUAGUUUUUGAAGUAUGGCCUGCCCACUGACAUUUAAGGUUGAAGGGCCGCGGUAUUUUGACCGUGCAAAGGUAGCAUAAUCAUUAGUUCUUUAAUUGUGAUCUGGUAUGAAUGGCUUGACGAGACAUUAGCUGUCUUGGGUUUAUGUUUUAUUGAACUUGGUCUCUGAGUUAAAAUUCUUAGAUGUUUUUAUGGGACGAGAAGACCCUAUAGAGUUUUACAUUUUUCUUAUUAUUUAUCAUUGUGUUUGAUUUCUAUUAUUUUAAUAUGAUAAGUGUUUUGUUGGGGUGAUGGGAGGAAUUUUAUUAACUCCUCUUUGGUUAGAAGGUUUAUUUAUUUAUAGCUUUGUUUUGAUCCAUUUAUUUUGAUUAUAAGAUUAAAUUACCUUAGGGAUAACAGCGUUAUCUUCCUUGAGAGUUCUUAUUGGCAGGGGGGUUUGCGACCUCGAUGUUGGAUUAAGAUGAAUUUUCGGUGUAGGAGCUGAAAUAUUGAUUGGGUCUGUUCGACCUUUAAAAUCUUACAUGAUCUGAGUUCAGACCGGCGUGAGCCAGGUUGGUUUCUAUCUAUAAUGGAUUUUUAUACCUUAGUACGAGAGGACCGGGUAUUUGGAAUAAUUUUGUUAUUAUUUGAUUAUUAUUAAUAUAUUUACUAUUUUGGCAGAUAAGUGCAU